rnacentral:lncRNA from 1 species
AAUGCUUGAUACUUGCUAUUUUGAAAGUUGGGUACAGCACAUCAAUGAAAAAACACAGUAUAUAUAAUCACUUUCAUGGUAAAUCAUUUGUCAGUGUGUAUUCUUAGGAAAGUGCUGAGAACUGUAAUAGGGCAUAAGUACUUGCAGAAUCCAUUUUUACCAUAUGUGUAUUUCCCAGAGAUUUUCCUACUUUUAUUAUAAUGGGCAUAUUACAGUGUUUAUAAGAUGUAUAUAAAAGGAAGAUACACUAUAGGUACAAGAUGUAUAUAAAAUGUAUAUAUAGAAUUUAAACAAAAAGACAUAAGCACAAGUUAAUUUUAGAACAUUACUAUUAGAAGCCCCUUUUGCCCUUUCUAACUUGCAUUUCCCACCUGUCCUCUUUAGGUGUGUAAACACUAUCUGGCUUUUGUCUAAUUUAUUUCUUUGCUUUUCGUUUUAGAGUUUUACUACCGAUAAAUUAUUAAUCAAUAUUUAAUUUUGAAGAGCUGAAUAGCAAGCCAAACUUAGUUAAGUAAAACAGUAUUAACUACUGUUAGUUAAAGGCUCCAAGAUAGGACAGUAAAAACAAGAGACUAUUUGGGUCAUAGUCUGGUUUAAGCUUUUCUGGUUUCCAUUUCGGGAAAAGCUAUAGGGCAAGGUGCUAUGCACUUUGAAAUACGUAUCUUGGGAAACAGUUUUAAGUUGUGUGGUAGUUUUCUAGUGUGAGUGGAUGGAUGUCUUGCAGAAAUAUAAUCAAGGAGAAUGGAAAAGGAUGAGCUGCCCAACAUCUGUUGCCUUUGAUUUUAUAGUAGCUUGCCAGUUCGUGAUAGUUUAAAAAGAACACUUGGGGGUGAGGAAAAUGAUGGGGUUAUUUGUUGCUGUUUAGGCAUUAGUGCAUAGUGGUAGAAGGGCAGAUAAUUUUACUUCAGGGCCAACAACAUGCAAGUACACUGGAGAAUUUGAGCCAGUAUUCCCAUGUCUACGUACUGUCUUUAGCAUAAAAAAAAAAUAGAGGCAGCAGGCUUUUUAAUGAUAUUGUCUCUCAAAGUGAUUGUGUCUCAAAGACACUGCUCUCAUCUGGAUUUCUUAACCCUGGUUAUAAGGUUUUCAUACUAUCUUCCUGGUGUUUCCAUUUCUUUCUCUUUGAGUUUGCUAUAUUCUACACUUUUUCUUUUCUUAUGGUUCUUUAGUGCUUUCUUGGAAGAGUGCAAGGGAAGUAGAUUAUUUUGAUACACGAUAUGAUUGAAAAUGACUUCUACUUUAUGCUUGAUAGUUAGAAAUUUAAGGUAGGAAUUAUUUUUCAUCAGAAUUUUGAAGGUGCUACUUCCAUUGUUACCUUGUUUGCAGCGUUGUUGUGUUGAAGUUAAAAGUUUUCUUGAUUAUUUGCAUGUGAUAUUUUUGAAAUACUAUUUCUGGAAGCUAUUAUGGCUUUGGAGUUUUGAAAAUUUUCCCAUUGUUUUGCUUAUUCUAUCUCUUUGUGUUAGGCAGUCAGUGGUGGACCCUUUCAAUCCAGCAGUUCAGUAGCUUUUAGUUCUAAGGAAUAUUCUUGACCUUUUGGGGGGCUUGUUUCUGUUUUCUCCUUCUGCACAUCCUGGUAGAUGUCAUAUGUUUGAUUGGUCUUCUAAUCACCUCAUUUUAUUUUUCAUCUUAGUUUCUUUGUUCUUUCUGGACAGAACUAAAGAAACCUUGUUUUUCCAGUCUUAGAUUUUAAAUCUCUAUUGUAUUUAGUUUCUAAAAGUUCAUUUGCUUUUUGUUCCUG